UUAAAUAUAUAUAUCGCUUGCCUCUCCUUCCUCAUUUCUCACUUUCUUCAGCGUUUAAUCAAAAAACUUUCUUCGUCUUCAGGGUAAAUAUUUGAAAGAGUUUGCUUACUAGUAUCAUGGGAUCCAUUGGUGAUGCUGCAAACAAGGAGGUGAAUGGAACCGCAAGUGAGAAGAAACCCACUGUUAUUUUUGUCCUCGGUGGUCCCGGAAGUGGGAAAGGUACACAGUGUGCCUAUAUUGUUGACCAUUUUGGUUACACACAUCUGAGUGCUGGAGACCUUCUUAGAGCUGAGAUUAAGUCAGGUUCUGAAAAUGGAACUAUGAUCCAGAAUAUGAUUAAAGAAGGGAAGAUUGUACCUUCUGAGGUUACAAUCAAGCUUCUCCAGAAAGCAAUUCAGGAAAACGGGAACGAUAAGUUCCUCAUUGAUGGCUUCCCUCGCAAUGAGGAGAACCGAGCAGCUUUUGAGAAAGUUACUGGGAUUGAACCCAAGUUUGUCUUGUUCUUUGAUUGUCCUGAGGAAGAGAUGGAGAGGCGCCUUUUGGGCCGAAACCAGGGGAGAGAGGAUGACAAUAUAGAGACUAUAAGGAAGCGUUUCAAGGUGUUUCUUGAAUCUAGCUUGCCAGUGAUUCAGUACUACGAAGCUAAGGGGAAAGUUCGUAAGAUUCAUGCAGCAAAGCCCAUUGAAGAUGUGUUUCAGGAGGUGAAGGCAGUCUUUUCUCCUGAAGCUGACAAGGUUGAAGCCUAGGCAGCAGCAGCCUAAAAAGAUACCUGAUGCAUUGAUCAGGUAUGUGUAGCAGUCAGUGAUGAUUGAUCUUUUGAUUUUAAUUAUGUUCAAAGGUCAAACACAACGAUGUAUAAAAGUCUGGAAUAAAGGCUGUGGAAGCUGAUGCUUCUUGUAGCAUGUAGCUUGGCGGUUGCAUCUUUACAAUGAAGUCUCUGCUUGGUUGUAUUUUCAUUCUUCUAUAUAACCCAUAUUUGAUAAAUGUUACUAUCAUUAUUAUACACCUUUACCUAUUGUAUAAUUUUUUGUAUUUGAUGAAAUUUUGUGAUUGGUACUU